rnacentral:lncRNA from 7 species
ACACAUCCACCUCCACCUCCAUGAAUUCACAACUGGGCUCAGAGCUGUAUGUAGGAAAACUGACAGGCUGCAAUUCUCAAUUUUAAAAUCUUCAUAAACCUCUCCUGUAAUUCCUGUGUUGAAAGGGGUUGUGUGCUAAAUAUAAACCUUUUCAGACAACAUACGAAGAGAAACAGUCAGGGAGCUCACGGUUAGAAAGAGAAUCUCCGAACCGAUAUUCUGAUGGCAGAUUACCAAGUGCUUUGUAUCAAUUUAGCCUGCAUUUAAGAUUUGAGCUGCUUUUGAGUUGGUGUAGUGCUUUGGAUAAUGUGAAGACAGGUGGCUUGAGAGGACGUCUGACAUUGCCCUUCCGGCUGGACGAGGAUGGAGAGUUUUCUUUAUUUUGGAACGUUACAAAGCUGGCAUCCAAGGGAAUCUGCUCUCUGAAGUGAUUUUUCAUUCAGACCAGCAGUUCAUCUGAACGUACGUGAAGCUUGGAAUAUGUUCAUCAGUGGGCAGCCACUUUGAAGCCCAUUAUUUGUUUCUCAGACACAGCUCUGGUGACAACUGACUUACAACUGAUAUGUUCAGAUAGGAAAUGAGGAUUAGCAACUCAGCUGCAGAAUUGCGAGCAGAUGAAAAUCAGUGAUCUACUCUGCUCCCCGCUGCAUGGCCUAGAUCCUCCACUGGGAGUGCAACAAAAUCACUGAUUCUGGAGCAUGACUUGAACAUAUCAAUGAAAAAGGCAAGCAUGAAGGCUACACUGGCUAUGCCUUAAUGUAUUCCUGUCUGCUCUGACAAUGGCAUAAGCAAAAAAGAAAAAGAAAAAGAAAAAGGAAAAGGAAAAGGAAAAGGAAAAGGAAAAGGAAAAGGAAAAGGAAAAGGAAAAGGAAAAGGAAAAGGAAAAG